AUUGAACGCUGGCGGCAGGCCUAACACAUGCAAGUCGAGCGAGCGGCGGACGGGUGAGUAAUGUAUGGGGACUGCCUGAUAGUGGGGGAUAACUUCCGGAAACGGUAGCUAAUACCGCAUACUAUCGGAUAACCCAUAUGGGAUUAGCUAGUGGGUGAGGUAAUGGCUCACCUAGCCGACGAUCCCUAGCUGGUCUGAGAGGAUGAUCAGCCACACUGGAACUGAGACACGGCCCAGACUCCUAGGGAGGCAGCAGUGGGGAAUAUUGCAAAAGGGGCGCAAGCCUGAUGCAGCCAUGCCGCGUGUAUGAAGAAGGCCAUAGGGUUGUAAAGUACUUUCAGUCGGGAGGCGUUACCGACAGAAGAAGCACCGGCUAACUCCGUGCCAGCAGCCGCGGUAAUUC
rnacentral:rRNA from 1 species